GACGUAGGGCGCGAGCGUUGUCCGGAUUUAUUGGGCGUAAAGAGCUCGUAGGCGGCUUGUCGCGUCGAAUGUGAAAACUCGGGGCUCAACUCCGAGCUUGCAUUCGAUACGGGCAGGCUAGAGUUCGGUAGGGGAGGACUGGAAUUCCUGGUGUAGCGGUGAAAUGCGCAGAUAUCAGGAGGAACACCGGUGGCGAAGGCGGGUCUCUGGGCCGAUACUGACGCUGAGGCGCGAAAGCGUGGGGAGCGAACAGG
rnacentral:rRNA from 1 species